rnacentral:rRNA from 1 species
GACGAACGCUGGCGGCGUGCCUAAUACAUGCAAGUAGAACGCUGAAGGAGGAGCUUGCUCUUCUGGAUGAGUUGCGAACGGGUGAGUAACGCGUAGGUAACCUGCCUGGUAGCGGGGGAUAACUAUUGGAAACGAUAGCUAAUACCGCAUAACAGUAGAUGUUGCAUGACAUUUACUUAAAAGGUGCAAUUGCAUCACUACCAGAUGGACCUGCGUUGUAUUAGCUAGUUGGUGGGGUAACGGCUCACCAAGGCGACGAUACAUAGCCGACCUGAGAGGGGGAUCGGCCACACUGGAACUGAGACACGCCCCAGACUCCUACGGGAGGCAGCAUUAGGGAAUCUUCGGCAAUGGACGGAAGUCUGACCGAGCAACGCCGCGUGAGGGAAGAAGGUUUUCGGAUCGUAAAGCUUUGUUGUAAGGGAAGAACGGGUGUGGGAGUGGAAAGUUCACCCGGGGCCGGUAUCUUACCAGAAGGGAACGGCAACCUACGU